UACGUAGGGUGCGAGCGUUAAUCGUAAUUACUGGGCGUAAAGCGUGCGCAGGCGGUUCGUUGUGUCGGUGGUGAAAUCCCCGGGCUUAACCUGGGAAUGGCCAUGGAAACUGGCGAACUGGAGUGUGGCAGAGGGGGGUGGAAUUCCGCGUGUAGCAGUGAAAUGCGUAGAGAUGCGGAGGAACACCGAUGGCGAAGGCAGCCCCCUGGGCUAGCACUGACGCUCAGGCACGAAAGCGUGGGGAGCAAACAGG
rnacentral:rRNA from 1 species